rfam:Trichobilharzia regenti genome assembly, scaffold: TRE_scaffold0118514
AUCCAGCUGACGAGUCCCGCAAAGGACGAAAUGCACAUCCUGGAU